rnacentral:lncRNA from 1 species
CCAACAUUUCCACGUCGGGAUGCUGGGGGAGGUUGUAGAGUUUGCACAGGUCUGAAAUUAUUCGCUUCAGGUGCUGCAGAAGCAGCGUAUUUCCUUUCCUGACUUCCACCAGCCUCUCCAGGAUAGCUGCCAGGUUGGGAUCAUCCGACUCCACUGACCAGAUGGGGGGAACAGCUGGAUAAGACUCCGUGAUGUUGCAGUGGAUGCGGACGGGCCCCGGCGGCGGCCCACGGGAAGCGGAGCCCCCGGCCCUGGCGCCCGCCCCCGGCACGAACUCGCAGCUGAUCUCGUCGGGGCAGGCGCUGCCGAUGCGGAACCGCUCGUGGCCGCGGUGGAAGAUGGACUCGAGCAGCCGCAGCUCCCGCUUCAGGAGCCGCCCGGCCGGGGCCGCCGCCAGCCCGGCCCCGCUCCGCCCGGCUCCCCCCGCCGCCGCCUGCGACCCCGCCGCCUCCUCCGCCCCCGCCCGCUGCAUCUUCCCAUGGAGGGACCCGCUCCGCCCCGACGGCCCCGGGCCCCGCCGCAGACCCCGGAGCCGGCCCAAGAUGGCGGCGGGAUGGCCCCGCGCGCCGGAAGUGACCCCUCCCGCCGCGAGCGGAAGGGGCGGGGGAAACGGCCGG